rnacentral:lncRNA from 1 species
UCAAGAGACUCCUACAUAAUUGCUGUUGCCCUUGGUUACUUCCCAGAGGUUGAAGAUACAAGGGACAUUGCAUGACAAUAUCACAUUAGAAAAAUGUUUUGAUACAAGUACAUAGAGAUCUUGUUCUACAGACAGCAUUUUAAUGGGGCAUCCCAUGGCAGCUCCUUUGACCUUUAGUGUGGGAUUCUGUCAUCACUGAACCUUGUUGAG